GAUGAACGCUGGCGGCGUGCUUAACACAUGCAAGUCGAGGGGCAGCAUGGUCUUAGCUUGCUAAGGCCGAUGGCGACCGGCGCACGGGUGAGUAACACGUAUCCAACCUGCCGUCUACUCUUGGACAGCCUUCUGAAAGGAAGAUUAAUACAAGAUGGCAUCAUGAGUCCGCAUGUUCACAUGAUUAAAGGUAUUCCGGUAGACGAUGGGGAUGCGUUCCAUUAGAUAGUAGGCGGGGUAACGGCCCACCUAGUCUUCGAUGGAUAGGGGUUCUGAGAGGAAGGUCCCCCACAUUGGAACUGAGACACGGUCCAA
rnacentral:rRNA from 1 species